rnacentral:misc_RNA from 1 species
CCCCCCCCCCCUAAAGAUAAAUCUGCUGAGUUGAGGCUAGCCACUUCAUGGAAGAAACCCCUGUCCUCUGAUCUAGCAAAUAUCAUGCCCAACAAACGUAAUAGCCCAACUCAAUGGGGAGGUUUUGAUUCUUCUGAAAAAUCCAUUCAAGUUCACAAAAGUAAUCCUCAGGAGUCUGUUAAUGGGGUUAAUGUUGGUAUAAAUAAUAACAAUUCAGUUUCAAAAAUGAAAGUUGGUACAGCUUCAACAGAUGGUGAUUAUGCAGGUCAUUCACAAGAUUUCAGAAAACUCCGGGAUUCUCAACACCUGAGUGCACAUGAGGAUGUUUCAAAUUCAAAGGUUCUGCCGAAUGCUGCUGGUUCUGAGGUAUUCAGUUUUCAAAAGAAACUUCCACCUCAAUCUUCCGGUACAAAACCAGUGUUGCCUUCUAUCAACAUUGAUAAGCCUAACCAAAGGUGGACAUUUUCUUCUGAUAAUAGCUCAGGAUUUACUUUCCCAGUUUCUGCAUCUUCUGGGGUAUCUUCUGAGCCACCGACGCCCUCUAUCAUGCCAUCAUCCUCAUCCAUUGGUCUGCAUCAACAGAACGAGGGGUCAUCAAUCCCUUCAUACAAAUUUGGCUCAAGGGGGUCUACUCCAGCCCUCGUUUUUUCUUUCCCUUCAACAAGCAGCGUCCCCAAACAUGAUGAUGUAUCUGACUUGAAGUUCAACUUCGGAUCGGACAAGACGCCAAGGAUAUCUUUCGGUUCUGUAGGCCAAGGUGCCAUAUGUUACUGAUGAAAGGAAUUUUUAAAAGGAUAUUCAUCUUUCUUCUUACAUACUUCUGUUUUUAACUCUUUAUUACAAUUGGACUGUUGAAUUUUCAGUUUGUAAGAAAUCAUAUUCAACCCUCUGCAUUAUUGUUACUUGAGAGAGACGCAGGUAGGUAACUAAGGAAAGGAUAUUUUGAAACAAAAUUUAGUGCUCUCAUAAAC